rnacentral:rRNA from 1 species
UGGGGAAUAUUGCACAAUGGGCGAAAGCCUGAUGCAGCGACGCCGCGUGAGGGAUGACGGCCUUCGGGUUGUAAACCUCUUUCAGCAGGGACGAAGCGCAAGUGACGGUACCUGCAGAAGAAGCACCGGCUAACUACGUGCCAGCAGCCGCGGUAAUACGUAGGGUGCAAGCGUUGUCCGGAAUUACUGGGCGUAAAGAGUUCGUAGGCGGUUUGUCGCGUCGUUUGUGAAAACCAGCAGCUCAACUGCUGGCUUGCAGGCGAUACGGGCAGACUUGAGUACUGCAGGGGAGACUGGAAUUCCUGGUGUAGCGGUGAAAUGCGCAGAUAUCAGGAGGAACACCGGUGGCGAAGGCGGGUCUCUGAGCAGUAACUGACGCUGAGGAACGAAAGCGUGGGUAGCGAACAGG